rnacentral:rRNA from 1 species
UUAGGAAUAUUCGCAAUGGGGGAAACCCUGAACGAGCAAUGCCGCGUGAAGGAUGACGGUCCUAUGGAUUGUAAACUUCUGUUGUUAGGGAAGAACGACCUGUAUAGGAAGUGAUACAGGAGUGACGGUACCUUUCAAGAAAGCUCCGGCUAACUACGUG